rnacentral:piRNA from 1 species
ACAGAUGGUAAUAGACUCCGGAAU